GAGUUGUAAUUUGGAGACGGGAUACUAGAGAGAGGGAGGGCGACUAAGUGCCUUGGAACAGGCUGCCGUAGAGGGUGAGAGCCCCGUGAGUCGCGUGAACUCGAUCAAUUAGUGCCCGCCGAAGAGUCGAGUUGUUUGGGAAUGCAGCUCUAAGUGGGUGGUAUAUUCCAUCUAAGGCUAAAUAUUAGCGAGAGACCGAUAGCAAACAAGUACAGUGAUGGAAAGAUGAAAAGAACUUUGGAAAGAGAGUGAAAUAGUACGUGAAAUUGUUGAAAGGGAAGGGUAUUUGAUCCGACAUGGUGUUUAGCAGCGGCCCGUUCCUCGUGGAUGGGUGCACCUGGUUUACACUGGGCCAGCAUCGGUUCUGGGAGCCAUAUACGGGGCAGGCGAAUGUGGCCCUUCGAUUCUGUCGGAGGGUGUUAUAGCGCCAGCCAGACGUGGCUAUCCGGGACCGGGGACUGCGGCGAUUCUAUCGCCAAG
rnacentral:rRNA from 1 species